CUCCGGUAGUUAAAAGUCGUAACAAGGCUCUCAUUUUUGUUUACCAGCGUAGGGAUCAUUACCGAGUUCUACAACUCCCAAGCCCUCUGUGAAUCUUACCUCAGUUGCCUUGAAGCGGGAAGGCCCCGGCCGCCGGCCCCCGCGCCGGCGCCGGACAUCAGGCGCCCGCCGCAGGGACCCCAAACUCUCUUGCAUUACUCCCAGCGGGCGGAAUUUCUUCUCUGAGUUGCACAAGCAAAAACAAAUGAAUCAAAACUUUCAACAACGGAUCUCUUGGUUCUGGCAUCGAUGAAUAACGCAGCGAAAUGCUAUAAGUAAUGUGAAUUGCAUAAUUCAGUGAAUCAUCUAAUCUUUGAACGCACAUUGCGCCCGCCUGCAUUCUGGCGGGCAUGCCUGUUCGAUCGUCAUUUCAACCCUCGAGCCCCCCCGGGGGCCUCGGUGUUGGGGGACGGCACACCAGCCGCCCCCGAAAUGCAGUGGCGACCCGGUUUCCGCAGCCUCGCCCUGCGUGGUGGCAGUCGCGCGGCUCGCUCCGGAGCGAAACGGAGGCGGGAUCACGCACGUCAGUUUGCCGUAGUUCUUAUAGUGACCUCGGAUCAGGUAGCAGCCCAUUUCCCCCCGCUCACCAACAUAUUGUUACGACUUAUACUUCCCUACAAAACAU
rnacentral:rRNA from 1 species